UACGUAGGGUGCAAGCGUUGUCCGGAAUUAUUGGGCGUAAAGAGCUCGUAGGCGGUCUGUCACGUCGGCUGUGAAAACCCGAGGCUCAACCUCGGGCCUGCAGUCGAUACGGGCAGACUAGAGUUCGGUAGGGGAGACUGGAAUUCCUGGUGUAGCGGUGAAAUGCGCAGAUAUCGGGAGGAACACCAGUGGCGAAGGCGGCACUCUGGGCCGUGACUGACGCUGAGGAGCGAAAGCGUGGGUAGCAAACAGG
rnacentral:rRNA from 1 species